AUUAACACAACUAAACAACAAGUUAAAAAGUUAAUGUUUUUUGGUUGUAUUAUCUCCUUCAACAUUUCUAUACAUUAACCUGCAUUUAAAGUAAUAUUAGAGAUUAGUUGUUGUUACCAUCACAUUAAAGUAACACUAUAGUGUCAGGAACACAAACACAAACAUAUAUUACUGACACUAUAGUGCUGGUGUGGCUUUUUAAAUGACCUGCCCAUUCGGGCUGAAAAGGUGAUUUCACUCAUCUUGUCUCCCACACCACAUCAGUUUUGCCGCAACUGGCCUGCCUGGCUCCGCCUCUAUGGCUGAGAUCAUCAUUUUUUAUCUUAGCCAAUCCAUUGCUUUCCCAAGCAUUUGAAGGCUAUUGAAAUACAGUUUAAAACACUGUGUGGCGCCUAUCAUCCUCUUCUCACAGGGAAGCAUUGAAUGAAUCCUCCCCAAACCCUCCCAUUCUAACCCAGCCCACAUUUUCUGUAGUAGUUCAAUCAGUCUUUCCAAUGCACCUCAAUGAGUAGUCUUUGCAAGGCAAGUGCUCUAGCUAAUUAUAUUACAUGACAGAAGGCUUCAUAUUUUACUUAUCAAAAAAAGAGAACAGGUGGAAGCAAAAUACUAAAUCAAGAGUAUCUAGGACAGACACUAAGGGGUAACCCUUGAAGAAAAUUGUAAAUUGAAAAACAGAAAAAAUGUGAUCUGUCCUAAUAGUACCACUGAGAUAGACAAAAAAAUUGAAAUAUAACAUUUAAUGAGUUUAAUUAAAAUUAGAGUAACUGAAAGGCACGGGAAAUAAUGGGGGAAAAGAUUAUCACCUAAAAGUCUAGAAAAAGUGAUAUAUGUCCCUGUAGUAAUAGCAUAUGGAUUAGCAAAAGCGAAUGUACUAAAGUGUACAGAUAAAACAAUAUUAGCAUUGGUAGGUAGAUUGCGGAAUGUGCAUAAGGUACCUUGAGAGAAGAAAAACAAGAUAAGGUGGAGCGAUCUAAGGCAUACGUUAGCGAUAAGUAAUCCCUAUAUCUGUGCCUACAGGGGCACUUAAAUGUCUACUACAAAUAUACUUGAUAGUGAAAC